UAAGUAGUAAAAAGUAGAAUAAUAGAUUUGAAAUAUUUAUUAUAUAGAUUUAAAGAGAUAAUCAUGGAGUAUAAAAAUUAAAUUUAAUAAAUUUAAUAUAACUAUUAAUAGAAUUAGGUUACUAAUAAAUUAAUAACAAUUAAUUUUAAAACCUAAAGGUAAACCUUUAUAUUAAUAAUGUUUUUUUUUAUUUUUAUAAUUAAGAAUAAUUAUUAAUAAUAAUAAACUAAGUGAACUGAAACAUCUAAGUAACUUAAGGAUAAUAAAUCAACAGAGAUAUUAUGAGUAUUGGUGAGAGAAAAUAAUAAAGGUCUAAUAAGUAUUAUGUGAAAAAAAUGUAAGAAAAUAGGAUAACAAAUUCUAAGACUAAAUACUAUUAAUAAGUAUAGUAAGUACCGUAAGGGAAAAUAUGAAAAUGAUUAUUUUAUAAGCAAUCAUGAAUAUAUUAUAUUAUAUUAAUGAUGUACCUUUUGUAUAAUGGGUCAGCAAGUAAUUAAUAUUAGUAAAACAAUAAGUUAUAAAUAAAUAGAAUAAUAUAUAUAUAUAAAAAAAUAUAUUAAAAUAUUUAAUUAAUAUUAAUUGACCCGAAAGCAAACGAUCUAACUAUGAUAAGAUGGAUAAACGAUCGAACAGGUUGAUGUUGCAAUAUCAUCUGAUUAAUUGUGGUUAGUAGUGAAAGACAAAUCUGGUUUGCAGAUAGCUGGUUUUCUAUGAAAUAUAUGUAAGUAUAGCCUUUAUAAAUAAUAAUUAUUAUAUAAUAUUAUAUUAAUAUUAUAUAAAGAAUGGUACAGCAAUUAAUAUAUAUUAGGGAACUAUUAAAGUUUUAUUAAUAAUAUUAAAUCUCGAAAUAUUUAAUUAUAUAUAAUAAAGAGUCAGAUUAUGUGCGAUAAGGUAAAUAAUCUAAAGGGAAACAGCCCAGAUUAAGAUAUAAAGUUCCUAAUAAAUAAUAAGUGAAAUAAAUAUUAAAAUAUUAUAAUAUAAUCAGUUAAUGGGUUUGACAAUAACCAUUUUUUAAUGAACAUGUAACAAUGCACUGAUUUAUAAUAAAUAAAAAAAAAUAAUAUUUAAAAUCAAAUAUAUAUAUAUUUGUUAAUAGAUAAUAUACGGAUCUUAAUAAUAAGAAUUAUUUAAUUCCUAAUAUGGAAUAUUAUAUUUUUAUAAUAAUAAUAAAAAUAUAAAUACUGAAUAUCUAAAUAUUAUUAUUACUUUUUUUUUAAUAAUAAUAAUAUGGUAAUAGAACAUUUAAUGAUAAUAUAUAUUAGUUAUUAAUUAAUAUAUGUAUUAAUUAAAUAGAGAAUGCUGACAUGAGUAACGAAAAAAAGGUAUAAACCUUUUCACCUAAAACAUAAGGUUUAACUAUAAAAGUACGGCCCCUAAUUAAAUUAAUAAGAAUAUAAAUAUAUUUAAGAUGGGAUAAUCUAUAUUAAUAAAAAUUUAUCUUAAAAUAUAUAUAUUAUUAAUAAUUAUAUUAAUAAUAUAUAUAUAUNNNNNNNNNNAAUAAAAAUUUAUCUUAAAAUAUAUAUAAUUAUAUUAUAUAUUUUUUUUAUAUAAUAUAAACUAAUAAAGAUCAGGAAAUAAUUAAUGUAUACCGUAAUGUAGACCGACUCAGGUAUGUAAGUAGAGAAUAUGAAGGUGAAUUAGAUAAUUAAAGGGAAGGAACUCGGCAAAGAUAGCUCAUAAGUUAGUCAAUAAAGAGUAAUAAGAACAAAGUUGUACAACUGUUUACUAAAAACACCGCACUUUGCAGAAACGAUAAGUUUAAGUAUAAGGUGUGAACUCUGCUCCAUGCUUAAUAUAUAAAUAAAAUUAUUUAACGAUAAUUUUAUUAAAUUUAGGUAAAUAGCAGCCUUAUUAUGAGGGUUAUAAUGUAGCGAAAUUCCUUGGCCUAUAAUUGAGGUCCCGCAUGAAUGACGUAAUGAUACAACAACUGUCUCCCCUUUAAGCUAAGUGAAAUUGAAAUCGUAGUGAAGAUGCUAUGUACCUUCAGCAAGACGGAAAGACCCUAUGCAGCUUUACUGUAAUUAGAUAGAUCGAAUUAUUGUUUAUUAUAUUCAGCAUAUUAAGUAAUCCUAUUAUUAGGUAAUCGUUUAGAUAUUAAUGAGAUACUUAUUAUAAUAUAAUGAUAAUUCUAAUCUUAUAAAUAAUUAUUAUUAUUAUUAUUAAUAAUAAUAAUAUGCUUUCAAGCAUAGUGAUAAAACAUAUUUAUAUGAUAAUCACUUUACUUAAUAGAUAUAAUUCUUAAGUAAUAUAUAAUAUAUAUUUUAUAUAUAUUAUAUAUAAUAUAAGAGACAAUCUCUAAUUGGUAGUUUUGAUGGGGCGUCAUUAUCAGCAAAAGUAUCUGAAUAAGUCCAUAAAUAAAUAUAUAAAAUUAUUGAAUAAAAAAAAUAAUAUAUAUUAUAUAUAUUAAUUAUAAAUUGAAAUAUGUUUAUAUAAAUUUAUAUUUAUUGAAUAUAUUUUAGUAAUAGAUAAAAAUAUGUACAGUAAAAUUGUAAGGAAAACAAUAAUAACUUUCUCCUCUCUCGGUGGGGGUUCACACCUAUUUUUAAUAGGUGUUCACCCCUCUUCGGGGUUCCGGUUCCCUUUCGGGUCCCGGAACUUAAAUAAAAAUGGAAAGAAUUAAAUUAAUAUAAUGGUAUAACUGUGCGAUAAUUGUAACACAAACGAGUGAAACAAGUACGUAAGUAUGGCAUAAUGAACAAAUAACACUGAUUGUAAAGGUUAUUGAUAACGAAUAAAAGUUACGCUAGGGAUAACAGGGUAAUAUAACGAAAGAGUAGAUAUUGUAAGUUAUGUUUGCCACCUCGAUGUCGACUCAACAUUUCCUCUUGGUUGUAAAAGCUAAGAAGGGUUUGACUGUUCGUCAAUUAAAAUGUUACGUGAGUUGGGUUAAAUACGAUGUGAAUCAGUAUGGUUCCUAUCUGCUGAAGGAAAUAUUAUCAAAUUAAAUCUCAUUAUUAGUACGCAAGGACCAUAAUGAAUCAACCCAUGGUGUAUCUAUUGAUAAUAAUAUAAUAUAUUUAAUAAAAAUAAUACUUUAUUAAUAUAUUAUCUAUAUUAGUUUAUAUUUUAAUUAUAUAUUAUCAUAGUAGAUAAGCUAAGUUGAUAAUAAAUAAAUAUUGAAUACAUAUUAAAUAUGAAGUUGUUUUAAUAAGAUAAUUAAUCUGAUAAUUUUAUACUAAAAUUAAUAAUUAUAGGUUUUAUAUAUUAUUUAUAAAUAUAAUAUAAUAAUUAUUAUUAUUAAUAAAAAAAAAUAUUAAUUAUAAUAUUAAUAAAAUACUAAUUUAUCAGUUAUCUAUAUAAUAUCUAAUCUAUUAUUCUAUAUACUUAUUACUCCUUUUUAAUUUAAUUAAAAAGGGGUUCGGUUCCCCCCCCCCA
rnacentral:rRNA from 1 species